UACGUAGGGUGCAAGCGUUGUCCGGAUUUAUUGGGCGUAAAGAGCUCGUAGGCGGUCUGUCGCGUCGGAUGUGAAAACCCAGGGCUCAACCCUGGGCCUGCAUUCGAUACGGGCAGACUAGAGUGUGGCAGGGGAGACUGGAAUUCCUGGUGUAGCGGUGAAAUGCGCAGAUAUCAGGAGGAACACCGAUGGCGAAGGCAGGUCUCUGGGCUGUAACUGACGCUGAGGAGCGAAAGCAUGGGGAGCGAACAGG
rnacentral:rRNA from 1 species